rnacentral:misc_RNA from 1 species
CACCUAUCGGUAGAAGUUCCCUCGUACAUCGUCAGUCAUCAGGCACGCACAACCAUACAUGUUUGCUUAAAUAAAAAGGCAAGUGUGUGCGUUUGCAAAGAGAAUUAAAGGCAGGCCAGCACAAAAGCUACCUCGGCGAUGGCAAGUGGUCAUUGUUGUCGGUCCUCCUCUGCGUCACCUCUGUCGCUAAGAUGACGCCACAGUCUUUGAUAUAGUAGUCGUCGAACGCGCGUGACAUGGCGAGUACCGAUGACUUUUGGCUGGGCUGCUAAACGAAGUGCACCCCGGCUCAUCAGCGAGGUAGUACACCUAGCCGUUGCACCUCCAGAUAUGCUACUCCUCUACAUACAUCUUGUCCGAGGACACUCACACAACAUCAACAACAACCGUCGUCCCAGCGCACAAGAAUUUAUGGCCGGUCAGUAGCGACUUACGUGGCCGGUUGAGCUUCAGGUGGAUGAUGAGCUAGAUGGCGUGACGGCACCAUCGUCGGAUGCGGUGCCCAGAACAACCCGAGAGUCGCCGGCGUUGGCAACGACUAUGAGGUCCCUCGUUUGAAUAUGGACAGCGGUGUAGCCGCUCUGGACCGCGUCCAAGCGACGGCUGCACUGGAGCUUGCCGAACAUAGCGACGCAUGCGGCCAAGUAGGACUGCUUCCAGAGGUCGAACUGGCAGUUGCCAAGCUUCUUCUCAUCGUCGAUGAGCGACGCCAACGCGAGCGCCUCCUGCCAGUGGUGUUUGUUCGGGGUUUCCAAGUAAGAAACAUGGAUUCAUCUUUGGCGUUAGUUUAUAAAAAUGACUCACAAGUCAGAUCCAUGGACAAAAUAUUACGAAGAAUAAAUGUCACACAUAUAAAAAAGGAAUUUAAGUUGAAAACUUAUUCAAACAAAAGAAGUUGC